UGCAUAUCAAAAGCGGAGGAAAAGAAACUAACAAGGAUUCCCCUAGUAACGGCGAGUGAAGCGGGAAGAGCUCAAAUUUGAAAUCUGGUAGCCUUCGGCUGCCCGAGUUGUAAUCUAGAGAAGUGUUUUCCGUGCCGGCCCAUGUACAAGUCCCUUGGAACAGGGCGUCAUAGAGGGUGAGAAUCCCGUCCUUGACAUGGACCCCCGGUGCUUUGUGAUACACUUUCAACGAGUCGAGUUGUUUGGGAAUGCAGCUCAAAAUGGGUGGUGAAUUCCAUCUAAAGCUAAAUAUUGGCGAGAGACCGAUAGCGAACAAGUACCGUGAGGGAAAGAUGAAAAGCACUUUGGAAAGAGAGUUAAACAGUACGUGAAAUUGUUGAAAGGGAAACGAUUGAAGUCAGUCAUGCUCUUUGGAUUCAGCCGUUCUGCGGUGUAUUUCCAUUGAGUGGGGUCAACAUCAGUUUUGAUCGCUGGAUAAAGGCACUAGGAAGGUAGCACUCUCGGGUGAACUUAUAGCCUAGCGUCAUAUACAGUGAUUGGGACUGAGGAACGCAGCAUGCCUUUAUGGCCGGGAUUCGUCCACGUACAUGCUUAGGAUGUUUACCAAAAG
rnacentral:rRNA from 1 species